rnacentral:rRNA from 1 species
GACGAACGCUGGCGGCGUGCUUAACACAUGCAAGUCGAACGGAAAGGCCCUGCGUUUGUGGGGUGCUCGAGUGGCGAACGGGUGAGUAACACGUGAGUAACCUGCCCUUGACUUUGGGAUAACUUCAGGAAACUGGGGCUAAUACCGGAUAGGAGCUCCUGCUGCAUGGUGGGGGUUGGAAAGUUUCUGCGGUUGGGGCUGGACUCGCGGCUUAUCAGCUUGUUGGUUGGGUAGUGGCUUACCAAGGCUUUGACGGGUAGCCGGCCUGAGAGGGUGACCGGCCACCUUGGGACUGAGGUACGGCCCAGACUCCUACGGGAGGCAGCAGUGGCGAAUCUUGCACAAUGGGCGGACGCCUGAUGCAGCGACGCCGCGUGCGGGAUGACGGCCUUCGGGUUGUGAACCGCUUUCGGCUGUGACGACGCGUGAGUGACGGUAAUGGGUAAAGAAGCACCGGCUAACUACGUG